rnacentral:rRNA from 1 species
GUCGAGAAUCUUUCACAAUGGGGGCAACCCUGAUGGAGCGACGCCGCGUGGAGGAUAAGGUCUUCGGAUUGUAAACUCCUGUCAUGCGUGAACAAGGUUGCUUGGUUAAAACCUGGGCAAAUUGAUGGUAACGCAAGAGGAAGAGACGGCUAACUCUGUGCCAGCAGCCGCGGUAAUACAGAGGUCUCAAGCGUUGUUCGGAAUCACUGGGCGUAAAGGGUGCGUAGGUGGCGUGGUAAGUCAGAUGUGAAAGCCCGGGGCUCAACCUCGGAACUGCAGCCGAUACUGCCAUGCUAGAGUACUGGAGAGGUGACUAGAAUUCUCGGUGUAGCAGUGAAAUGCGUAGAUAUCGAGAGGAAUACCAAAGGCGUAGGCAGGUCACUGGACAGUUACUGACACUGAGGCACGAAGGCCAGGGGAGCGAACGGGAUUAGAUACCCUGGUAGUCC